GGCUGAAGAGGAUGCAGAGCAGCCUAAAGCUGGUGGACUGCAUCAUCGAGGUCCACGAUGCCCGUAUCCCGCUUUCCGGCCGCAACCCUCUGUUUCAGGAAACCCUCGGGCUCAAGCCUCACUUGCUCGUCCUCAACAAGAUGGACUUGGCGGAUCUGAAGGAGCAGCAGAAAAUUAUACACCACUUAGAAGGAGAAGGUCUAAAAAAUGUCAUUUUCACCAACUGUGUGAAGGAUGAAAAUGUCAAGCAGAUCAUCCCGACGGUCACGGAGCUGAUUGGGAGCAGCUACCGCUAUCAUCGAGGAGAGAACGUGGAGUACUGCAUCAUGGUGAUCGGGGUCCCCAAUGUGGGCAAGUCCUCCCUCAUCAACUCCCUCCGGAGACAGCACCUAAGGAAAGGAAAAGCCACCAGGGUGGGCGGUGAGCCUGGGGUCACCAGAGCUGUGAUGUCCAGAAUUCAGGUGUGUGAGCGGCCGCUCAUGUUCCUGCUGGACACCCCAGGGGUGCUGGCUCCUCAGAUCCAGAGUGUGGAGUCCUGGCUCACAGCUGUCGCCCCGCCCCUUGUUCCCAGGAAGCGUGCUGGACCACCUGGUGGGGGAGGAGACCCUGGCCGACUAUCUUCUCUACACCCUCAACAGGCACCAGCUCCUGGGGUACGUGCAGCACUACGGCCUGGGCGGGGCCUGUGAUGACAUCACCAGCGUGCUGAAGCGGGUGGCCGUGCGGCUGCGGAAGACGCAGAGGGUCAAAGUGCUGACCGGCACGGGUGACGUGACCGUCAUCCAGCCCGACUACUCCGCCGCCGCCCGAGACUUCCUGCGGGCUUUCCGCAGUGGGGUGCUGGGCCGAGUCAUGCUGGACCGGGAUGUCCUGUAGGGCCCCCUCGGCAGAGCCCUGAGCUGGUUCAGCAGGAAGGCCUCUGAUGCCCGAGAGUCCCCUGUCCACAAGCCCCUCGCUGGCCACUGUACACCCAGGUCUCUGCUCCAGGAAGGAGGCCCUUCUCCGCUGCUGUCCCAGCCCAGCCAUUCUGGGUGACAGGGAACUGAGCCUGGGACGUGGACGUCAGGGCAGUGGACCUCCCUGAGCAGUCCUCGUGUGCCUGUCCUGGUGAGGAAACUCACUCGUGUUCAAUAUCUGUUAAACGUCUUCUUGAGGAGAAGCUGGUGUUUUCUCAAAAAGGGGUUGAACCUAUAAUCUGUAAUUUAAAAAUUUUAAAUUAAAAGGCUUGUCUCUGUG